GCGGUGGAGCAUGUGGUUUAGUUACGAAGCAACGCGCACGAACCUUACCACGCCUUGACACUCCCGGUCGCGGAUCGCAGAGAUGCUUUCCUUCAGUUCGGCUGGACCGGUGACAGGUGCUGCAUGGCUGUCGUCAGCUCGUGUCGUGAGAUGUUGGGUUAAGUCCCGCAACGAGCGCAACCCCCGCCUUCAGUUGCCAACGGUUCGGCCGUGCACUCUGGAGGAACUGCCUGUGACAAGCAGGAGGAAGGUGGGGAUGACGUCAAGUCCUCAUGGCCCUUAUGGGCUGGGCUACACACGUGCUACAAUGGCGGUGACAGAGGGAUGCAAUACCGCGAGGUGGAGCAAAUCCCUAAAAGCCGUCUCAGUUCGGAUUGUUCUCUGCAACUCGAGAGCAUGAAGUUGGAAUCGCUAGUAAUCGCAGAUCAGCUCGCUGCGGUGAAUACGUUCCCGGGCCUU
rnacentral:rRNA from 1 species